rnacentral:rRNA from 1 species
UACAGAGGGGGCAAGCGUUAUUCGGAAUUAUUGGGCGUAAAGGGCGCGUAGGCGGCCUGGCAAGUGGAAGGUGAAAUCCCUCGGCUUAACCGAGGAACUGCCUCCCAAACUGCUUGGCUCGAGACCGGGAGAGGUGAGUGGAAUUCCCAGUGUAGCGGUGAAAUGCGUAGAUAUUGGGAGGAACACCAGUGGCGAAGGCGGCUCACUGGACCGGUACUGACGCUGAUGCGCGAAAGCGUGGGGAGCAAACGGGG